rnacentral:rRNA from 1 species
GACAUAGGUGGCGAACGUUAUCCGGAAUUAUUGGGCGUAAAGGGUGCGUAGGUGGUUUAAUAAGUUACUGGUGGUAAAUCGGGGCUCAACCUCGUGGAAGUCAGUAAUACUAUUAGACUAGAGGACCGGAGGAGUUAACGGAAUGGCUCAUGUAGGGGUAAAAUCCGCAAAUAUGAGUUAGAACACCAAUUGGCGAAGGCAGUUAACUAUUCGGUUCCUGACGUUGAGGCACGAAAGCCAGGGGAGCAAACGGG